rnacentral:rRNA from 1 species
GUCAAGAAUCUUCCUCAAUGGCCGAAAGGCUGAAGGAGCAAUGCCGCGUGAUCGAAGAAGCCCCUCGGGGUGUAAAGAUCUUUUAUUAGGGACGAAUUUGUGACGGUACCUAAUGAAUAAGCAACUGCUAACUUCGUGCCAGCAGCAGCGGUAAUACGAAGGUUGCAAGCGUUAUCCGGAAUAAUUGGGCGUAAAGCGUCCGCAGACGGUUUGGUAAGUCCUUUGUCAAAUCCUGAAGCUCAACUUCAGGGCUGCAGGGGAAACUACCUUUCUUGAGGCUGGAAGAGGCAAGCGGAAUUAUCGGUGUAGGGGUAAAAUCCGUUAAUAUCGAUAAGAACACCAAAUGCGAAGGCAGCUUGCUGGAACAGUUCUGACGUUAAGGGACGAAAGCGUGGGUAGCGAAUGGGAUUAGAAACCCCGGUAGUCC